rnacentral:rRNA from 1 species
GUCUAUGGCCAUGCCACCCUGAACAAGCCUGAUGCUGUCUGAUCUCAGAAGCUAAGCAGGGUUGGGCCUGGUUAGUACUUGGAUGGGAGACCACCUAGAAAGACCAAGCGCUGUAAGUG